CGAUUGCUGUGUUUUUGAAAAAAAAAAACCCUACGUUCUCUUCAGUCUUCGCCUCCCUCAGCUUUCUGCCUCCCUCCCUCAUCUCUCUCUUUAUUCCUCAAAGGUUUAAACCUCAUCCUUACAAGCCAGUUUCAAGCUAUUUGCUCCAUUUGUCUCUGUGUUUUUAACUAAAGAGCUCUUCUGCCUCUCUCUGGGGUUUCACUAUUUUGCUUUUCGCCAAGGUUAGAGACUCCUCAAUACUCUUCAUCAUUGACUACAUGAGGGAUGGAGGAAGAAUAAUAUGAUAGAAAACAAAGCCCACAACUAGGAAAUAUGCUAUAUAAGCACCUAAUAUCCAUCCUCUCUUAUUGGGUCAACCCCAUGUGUAUGAAGCCAAGUUUAAUGUUGGAGCUUGAAGAAGUGCUUACAUGCAGGAUUACUGAAAAGAAACUUUUUUUUGACAACUAAGCAUUCUAUCCAGCAAUGGAUUGCUGUAAUUUGUUUCACGACUAAGCAUUUUGUUGUAAUGUAAAGCUUUAGAUAUCUUGUCAUAGUUUUUCAUUUCUGGCUCUUUAGUGCUUGUGUUGGUUUUUAUGCAUUUGUUUUGCUUUCUCAAAGUUCUAACACUGUUUGGAGAGUACACAACAGAAUGAAAUGAAUUAGAGUGGAUAGGUUAUAAAUGAAUGGAAUGUGGAGGACUAUAUUAUUUUCUUUUGUUUGGUGUGCUUUGGAGUUGCAUAAUAGAAGGAAUGGAAAGAAGAGAUAUCAUACUUGCA